GCUGGGUAGUGAGAGUAUGUGUGAUUAUUGUCAGGGCUAUGGGAUGUGUGUUGUGUAGUAUAUUCAUUAGAUUGCUAGCUGUUCAAGCAUGGGUUUACAUUAUGAUAUAGUUUGAGGUGUUGGUUUACGUUUUGUUUAAAGGUUGUGGUUUGGGUUGGUUCUUCUCACUAAAAAGGGUGGUUUUGUGUUGGUCUGAGGUAGGGGGAGGGGUUUGUUUGGGGUUUGUUGGGGUCGUUAGGUGGGGUUUUGGUUUGGGGCUGGGGUAUAUUGGGGGAAUUCCUGGGCGUUUUUCAACCCAAAAAAACCACCGCUUUGGGUUACCAUAAGCCCAGGGCCACAGGUUCCCCUCCUUUCUUUCCCCCCCGGUUGGGGUUUGGUUUGGGGUAAGGGCCCCCCCACCGCGUGGGUGUGGGGGGGGGACAAAGGUUUGGGAAAUCCCCCCCCCCCCUCGUCCUGAACAGCACGCCUCGCUGUGGCUGGUCAAACGGAACCAAGUCAGGUGUUUCAGAGAGGUUUGGUCCCCUUCAACCAGCUACUGCGUCGUGAACUCAGUCAGCAGACAGACAUCCACAGCGGGAAUGAAAGACAGAGUGUACACUGCUCGUACUGUACUACUGUAGCCUACUGAUGUU
rnacentral:miRNA from 1 species